rnacentral:rRNA from 1 species
UACGUAGGGUGCAAGCGUUAAUCGGAAUUACUGGGCGUAAAGCGUGCGUAGGUGGUUCGUUGUGUCUGUGGUGAAAUCCCCGGGCUUAACCUGGGAACUGCAUUGGUGACUGGCGGGCUAGAGUAUGGCAGAGGGGGGGUAGAAUUCCACGUGUAGCAGUGAAAUGCGUAGAGAUGUGGAGGAAUACCGAUGGCGAAGGCAGCCCCCUGGGCCAAUACUGACGCUCAUGCACGAAAGCGUGGGGAGCAAACAGG